AUACAUGCAGUCGAGCGGACAUGGAUUGGAGCUUGCUCUGAUUCGGUCAGCGGCGGACGGGUGAGAAACACGUGGGCAACCUGCCCGCAAGACCGGGAUAACUCCGGGAAACCGGAGCUAAUACCGGAUAACACCGAAGACCGCAUGGUCUUUGGUUGAAAGGCGGCCUUUGGUGGUCACUGGCGGAAGGGGCCCGCGGCGCAUUA
rnacentral:rRNA from 1 species